rnacentral:rRNA from 1 species
GACCAAGAAGUCUAACAUGUGUGCGAGUCAUUGGGUAUUUUGUUGAAACCUAAGGGCGCAAUUAAAAUAACUAUUUUAUGGGAUUACAAGUGAAUUAAUUUUCAUUUCUUCAUCCCGGGGCGUUCUAUACGAACAUGGUGCAAGCAAUUGAACCCUCUGUUCAAGAGCGUACCUUGAGCAUACAUGCUGUGACCCGAAAGAUGGUGAACUAUACCUGAUCAGAUCGAAGCCAGGAGAAAUUCUGGUGGAGGAUCGAAACAGUUCUGACGUGCAAAUCGAUUGUCAGAAUUGGGUAUAGGGGCGAAAGACCAAUCGAACCAUCUAGUAGCUGGUUCCCUCCGAAGUUUCCCUCAGGAUAGCUGGCGCAAAGAAUUAUAUUAUAUAUAAUCUUAUCUGGUAAAGCGAAUGAUUAGAGGCCUUGGGGCCGAAACGACCUCAACCUAUUCUCAAACUUUAAAUGGGUAAGAACCUCAUCUUUCUUGAUCUGAAGAUAUUGGGGUUUAGAUAUAUUGUGCCCAGUGGGCCACUUUUGGUAAGCAGAACUGGCGCUGUGGGAUGAACCAAACAUGAUGUUACGGCGCCUAAAUUAAUGACUCAUAUUGAUACCAUGAAAGGCGUUGGUUGCUUAAAACAGCAGGACGGUGGACAUGGAAGUCGUAAUCCGCUAAGGAGUGUGUAACAACUCACCUGCCGAAGCAACUAGCCCUUAAAAUGGAUGGCGCUCAAGUCAUAUGCCUAUACAUCAUCGCUAGAAUAAAAAUUGUUGACCGUUUGGUCAUCAUUAUGAAAUUCUAGUGAGUAGGAGGGUACAAUGGUGUGCGCAGAAGUGUUUGGCGUGAGCCUGCAUGAAGCCGCCAUUGGCACAGAUCUUGGUGGUAGUAGCAAAUAAUCGAAUGAGAUCUUGGAGGACUGAAGUGGAGAAGGGUUUCGUGUGAACAGUGGUUGAUCACGAGUUAGUCGGUCCUAAGCUUUAUGCGAAAGCUGUUUAAUUUAUGUUACACACAAAACUUUUGUUGUACAUAAUUCAAUAAAAGCGAAAGGGAAUACGGUUCCAAUUCCGUAACCUGUUGAGUAUACGUUUGUUUAUUAAAAAUGGGUCUUAUUACACUCAUCCUGGCAACAGGAACGACCAUAGAGAAGCCUUCGAGAGAUACUGGAAGAGUUUUCUUUUCUGCUAAACAAACGUAUCACCAUGGAAGUCUUUUAUAGAGAGAUAUGGUGGAUGGCUUGGAAGAGCAUGACAUUUACUGUUGUGUCAGUAUUUUCUCCUUGGACCUUGAAAAUCUAUGGUGGGGCCACGCAAACUUCUCAACAGACCGUACCGAUAUCCGCAG